rnacentral:lncRNA from 10 species
GCUCCGGUAGAUUGCAAAUGACCUGCUUUCUUUCUGUUCCCGGGCGGCAUCGGACCCGUCGGAGAGUAAAUCCCAAGUAAGGUACCUGCCGUUGGCAGAUUUGAGCUUUCUUCUUGGACACCUAAUACCCACAGUCCUCCAGGCUCCGGUAGAUUGCAAAUGACCUGCUUUCUUUCUGUUCCCGGGUGGCAUCGACCCGUCGGAGAGUAAAUCCCAAGUAAGGUACCUGCCGUUGGCAGAUUUGAGCUUUCUUCUUGGACACCUAAUACCCACAGUCCUCCAGGGCUGCGUUCGGACCCCUGUCGGAUAGUAAAUCCCAAGCAAGGUACCUGCCGUCAGCAGAUUUGAGCUUUCUUCUUGGACACCUAAUACCCACAGUCCUCCAGGCUCCGGUAGAUUGCAAAUGACCUGCUUUCUUUCUGUUCCCGGGCUGCGUUCGGACCCCUGUCGGAUAGUAACUCCCAAGUAAGGUACCUGCCGUCGGCAGAUUGGAGCUUUCUUCUUGGAGACCUAAUACCCACAGUCCUCCAGGCUCCGGUAGAUUGCAAAUGACCUGCUUUCUUUCUGUUCCCGGGCUGCGUUCGGACCCCUGUCGGAGAGUAAAUCCGAAAAAAACAAACAAAGACAUGGAUUUACUGUGCAUAUUAGCAGAUCCAUACUGGAAAAUGCAUGGAGGUUUCAUAUACACCACUUACAGAUGCAGAAAGGCAGUGAACUCCUCCGGAGUAGCUGUCAGGUCACCAUUGAGGUCUGCAGCUUUGAAUCUUCUCUCAUCACGUGGCAGCAUCUUUUUAAAGGUGUGAUGAUCUGAAGAAUCA